ACCUUUUGCCGGCGUAGNGGCGGACGGGUUGCAGAUAAUGCCUGGGGAUCUGCCCAGUUCGAGGGGGAUAACAUAUUGGAAACUGACUGCUAAUACCGCAUACGCCCUACGGGGGAAAGGAGGGGACCUUCGGGCCUUUCGCGAUUGGAUGAACCCAGGUGGGAUUAGCUAGUUGNUGGGGUAAUGGCUCACCAAGGCGACGAUCCCUAGCUGGUNUGAGAGGAUGAUCAGCCACACUGUGAACUGAGACACGGUCCAGACUCCUACGGGAGGCAGCAGUGGGGAAUAUUGCACAAUGGGGGAAACCCUGAUGCAGCCAUGCCGCGUGUGUGAAGAAGGCCUUCGGGUUGUAAAGCACUUUCAGCGAGGAGGAAAGGUUGGCGCCUAAUACGUGUCAACUGUGACGUUACUCGCAGAANAAGCACCGGNUAACUCCGUGCCAGCAGCCGCGGUAAUACGGAGGGUGCAAGCGUUAAUCGGAAUUACUGGGCGUAAAGCGCACGCAGGCGGUUGGAUAAGUUAGAUGUGAAAGCCCCGGGCUCAACCUGGGAAUUGCAUUUAAAACUGUCCAGCUAGAGUCUUGUAGAGGGGGGUAGAAUUCCAGGUGUAGCGGUGAAAUGCGUANAGAUCUGGAGGAAUACCGGUGGCGAAGGCGGCCCCCUGGACAAAGACUGACGCUCAGGUGCGAAAGCGUGGGGGAGCAAACAGGAUUAGAUACCCUGGUAGUCCACGCCGUAAACGAUGUCNAUUUGGAG
rnacentral:rRNA from 1 species